GCCGGCAUCCACAUCACCCUGCAGCUCUCGUCUGGCUACCCAGUGAAGCUAUGUUGGGUUGACCCUGGUCAGUACCUGGAUGGGAGACCUCCUGGGAAGUUAUGAUUGUUGCUGGAA
rnacentral:rRNA from 1 species